UUUGCCAAACCACCCUAAAUACAACUGAUCAUGCCCGAUCUUGGAAGCUAAGCAGAGUUGGGCCUGGUUAGUACGUGGAUGGGAGAAUCACAAUAUCUGGUCCUGACAAAU
rnacentral:rRNA from 1 species